rnacentral:rRNA from 1 species
AUUGAACGCUGGCGGCAUGCCUUACACAUGCAAGUCGAACGGUAACGCGGGGCAACCUGGCGACGAGUGGCGAACGGGUGAGUAAUGCAUCGGAACGUGCCCGGUAGUGGGGGAUAACUGCUCGAAAGAGCAGCUAAUACCGCAUACGGCCUGAGGGUGAAAGGGGGGGAUCGCAAGACCUCUCGCUAUCCGAGCGGCCGGUGUCGGAUUAGCUAGUUGGUGGGGUAAAGGCCUACAAAGGCCACGAUCCGUAGCUGGUCUGAGAGGACGACCAGCCACACUGGGACUGAGACACGGCCCAGACUCCUACGGGAGGCAGCAGUGGGGAAUUUUGGACAAUGGACGCAAGUCUGAUCCAGCCAUGCCGCGUGCGGGAAGAAGGCCUUCGGGUUGUAAACCGCUUUUGUCAGGGAAGAAAUCUUCUGAGUUAAUACCUCGGGAGGAUGACGGUACCUGAAGAAUAAGCACCGGCUAACUACGUGCCAGCCGCCGCGGUAA